AGUUAUAGAGCUAUAAAAAGCGUAUGUUUUGAAAGCAUAAAAUAAGAGGUUAAAAUCCCCUAAUAACUU
rnacentral:tRNA from 1 species